rnacentral:rRNA from 1 species
GUGCUGAAAGCAUCUAAGCAUGAAGCCCCCCUCAAGAUGAGAUUUCCCAACUUCGGUUAUAAGAUCCCUCAAAGAUGAUGAGGUUAAUAGGUUCGAGGUGGAAGCGUAGCGAUACGUGGAGCUGACGAAUACUAAUCGAUCGAAGACUUAAUCAAUUU